AGAGGUCAGUGAGGACAAGCAUGGCUAAAUCUCGUGUGAAGGUUUAUUUGUUUGCCAUUUUCAUUAUCUUCAUCCUUAAUAUCGACAUGGCAACGGGGAAGAGUUGCAGUUUUCUGAGCAAAACAUGGCUUGGGAGAUGUGAAGUAUCAGCCCACUGCGACAGCAAAUGUAAGGAUUGGGAGCAAGCGGGAGGUGGAGAAUGUCGCGGGCGUUGGUCAAGCAAAUGCUAUUGCUAUUAUGAAAAAUGUCCACCAACCUUAUAAAUAAAGUAUUUUGUAUUAUAAACUCAUUAAAAUGAACAAUAGCAAAAUAUAGGCAUCUGGGUUUUAAUUAUUUUGUGGACGUAGAUCAUAAACCGAAUCACGUAAAUUCAUUGUAUCCAUUUUAUUAUUUCACUAUUGUCUUUAUUUUUCUAUUCGAUUAUGUAUUCUUUCAAAUAUCGUAAGUAUACAUGCAUAUGUUAGUAUCAAAG